UUCAAAACCCUAAAUUAUCUUACUCUUCUCCUCCACCUGGCGAGUGGCGUUAGGGGACGAAGAACUCCUAAAAAUUCAGACUUUCGGAGCAGCGUUACGAGUUUGAGAGUAGGAUUUGAGUUAGGGUAUAAGAAAACUUGCUCUCCCCUGCUUCUGGCUCUCCCAAUCUCUCCCUCUCCGCUGAUGGCGAAGAAGCGAAAGGUCGGCGAAGAGGUAGACAUGUCCGUCACUGAACCCGACACGAACGAUGACGAGGGAACUGAAGAAGACGUUGAAGAAGACGUAGAAGAAGAUGCAGAAGAAGAACUUGAAGGAGGAGAAGAAGAGGAAGAAGACCUAACGAAGCUGCUAGAGCCCUUCAACAAAGAACAACUCAUAGACCUCCUUCGGAUGGCGGCCGCUAACGAUCCCAAAGUAGUCGAAGAAAUCCAUCGAAUCGCUGACCGUGAUCCCGCUCACCGUAAGAUCUUCGUCCAUGGACUUGGUUGGGAAACUACCUCUGAAAAGCUCUCUGAGUUCUUCUCGCAGUAUGGAGAACUCGAAGAUUGCAACGUUGUCGUGGACAAGGCCACUGGCAAAUCCAAAGGUUAUGGCUUCUUGCUCUUCAAGCACCGUCAAGGGGCUCAAAAAGCCCUCAAAGAGCCACAGAAAAAGAUUGAGUCUCGGAUGACCGCGUGCCAGCUUGCCUCCGCAGGUCCUGUCAAUAUGUCUCAUUCGAAUUCAGUUUCGCAUACGCAGCAGCAGACGCAGAAUCCAUCGCACGAUAAUCUACCUAGGAAAAUUUAUGUCGGUAAUGUGCAUUCGGAUAUUCCUGCUGAUCAAUUACACGCUUUCUUCUCCAAGUAUGGGGAAAUCGAAGAAGGUCCUUUGGGGUUUGAUAAACUAACGGGAAAAUCCAAGGGUUUUGCUCUUUUUAUCUAUAAGACUGUGGAAGGGGCGAGAAAGGCUUUAGAAGAACCGAACAAGAGUUUCGAUGGGCAUCAGUUGUAUUGCCAGAAAGCGACCGAUAGCCACAAACAAAGGGCUUCUACUGCCCCCACCACCGGAGGCGGCGGGACUGCCUCUGGGAAUGUUCCGGGCGUUGGUGGCUUUAAUAACCCCGCAGGUUAUGGCUUCAAUGCACACGGUGGUGCUGGUUUUGGCACGCACGGUGGUGCUGGUUUUAGUGCUCCGGAUGGGGCUAUGGGUCAGCAGCCUUCGGGAUCUGCUGCGCAAUUCUUAGGUCAGGGGCUACUUGGUGGAAACCUUCCGUUUGGCCCCGGGGUUCCUCCAAAUCAACAGGCGGUGCUUGCUGUAUUGGCUGCUGCUGGACAGAAUCCAGCUGCGUUUGGAUUUAAUCCUGCUGUUCUUGCAUCGUUGAACCCAGCUUUUGCAGCUGCGAUGAAUUCUGCUCCACCACCUGUUGCACCCGCAUCUCAAUCCACAAUGCCGCAGGCAAUGCCGGGAUAUGGAAUGGGGAAUCCUGGUUAUCAGAACCCACAAGCUUAUCAAGUUAAUAACUCAUAUCAGAGUGGCCCAAUGGGACAGGGUCAUCAACCUAGGCCACAUUCUGCUGUUGGCCCAAUGGGAGGAUAUGGUGCACGCUAGGUUUAAAUUCAAUAUGGCCUGUCUCGCACCACCUGAUCAUGAUCAAUCAAUUCACUAGUCGAUAACGGAUGAUGUGUUCAUAAUGAAUGAGGAGACUCUCCAAUCAAGUAUUGAAUCUUGGACCAAUCAUUGCCAUGCAUUCAAGUCUAUAAAGGAGAUCUUCCCUCAUAUUUUCCACUCAGGGAAUUCAUCUUCAGUAGUAUUUCAGACGUUAAUGGAAGAUGGAAAUUCAAAAUCAGUAUAGGAUGUCAAGAAAUGAACUCAUUUCAGAUGCCCGGUGGGAUGCGAGAUGAUGUUAAUUUUCUUGUAUAUUAUUUUCAGUUAUGAAUGAUGUGAAUAAAUUCAAAAAAGGGUGCCAGGUUGCGUGGCCCCAGCAUCAGCGCGGGCACAAGCAUCCAAGGGGAGGGGCGGGCCGGGGCGGGGUGAUCAUUUCACUGCUCCAUGUGAGAGAGCGCAUGUGGUGCUGCCGGCUAGCGUUCUUGUCCCCUUAAGAAAAUUAACUGGGAAUGCUUUCUUGGUGAAAAAAUAAGUUUCCUUGAGUUGCUUUUUCAGUGGCUAAAAUGGGACAGAUAUAGCUAAUUCAGUUUCUUCUUUUAUGAUUGGUUAAAAUAGGGCUCAGGGUCUGCAGAUUUCCAUCCAAAUUGGCUCUUUCAUUUGGAGCUUUGAACAUGUGAUUAAAUCGGAUUCAACGGGAAGUCACCCAGUUUGCUAACAAGCUCAUUUUAAUGUCUCUAGAACGAGCUCUCCUCAACUGUCCUCAUAGAGAUGCAGGUUCAGAAGCCAGAAAUCAACAAAUCCAGAAAGGCAUGGAAUGAAUCAAGAAAAUUUGUGAAGAUGUCAGGCUCAGAUUCAAGGCAAUGAGUUGAAGGGUGGAUGAUAAUACUGAGAAUGGGGUUCCCCCCCCUCCCCCUCUUCUUCCAGGUCAAUGUUUAUGGUGCUCUUGGGAAACAGCUGAUCUGCGCUGGAUUGGGUUGAACGCAGAUGAAUAUCUUAGAAGUUCAAAUGGUGGCUUCCUUCUUACACCAGUCGAGGCAUCAUCUGUGUGUGUGCAUCCUCAGUGAAUGAAGAGUGGGCAUACGAGUUUCAUGAGGCUUGAACUGUGACUCUGGUCAACCCUCACCUUUUCCUGAAAUCUUGUUUUGAGAUUGUAUGGCAUUAAUCCUCCACUGCAUAAAUCUGAAGGCUGAAAAGAGAACCUUAGGUCAUACUAUAAACCAUAUAUUGGCAAUCAGUCCCCAAGGCCCUUGAACUGGCCUUCAGAUCCGAAAAUUUGUGAUUUAGGGUUUUGGUCUUAAAACCGGUUAGUGUUGAAUUGGCCUGAGUUUUGGGAUAAAGCACGGUUUUGAUCUGAUUUGGCCGAUUUAACUGAUCUUAUUCCGAUAUCUGAAAUGGUGUUUUUGACACAUUGAAUGAUUGAAAGGAAGACAUUGUUUGAGAACA